CCAGACUCCUACGGGAGGCAGCAGUGGGGAAUAUUGCACAAUGGGGGAAACCCUGAUGCAGCGACGCCGCGUGAGUGAAGAAGUAUUUCGGUAUGUAAAGCUCUAUCAGCAGGGAAGAAAAUGACGAUACCUGAGUAAGAAGCCCCGGCUAACUACGUGCCAGCAGCCGCGGUAAUACGUAGGGGGCAAGCGUUAUCCGGAUUUACUGGGUGUAAAGGGAGCGUAGACGGCAGUGCAAGUCUGGAGUGAAAGGCGGGGGCUCAACCCCCGGACUGCUCUGGAAACUGUACGGCUGGAGUGCAGGAGAGGUAAGUGGAAUUCCUAGUGUAGCGGUGAAAUGCGUAGAUAUUAGGAGGAACACCAGUGGCGAAGGCGGCCUGCUGGGCUUUUACUGACGCUGAGGCUCGAAAGUGUGGGGAGCAAACAGGAUUAGAUACCCCCGUAC
rnacentral:rRNA from 1 species